AGGCGGCGCGGCCGGCCUCUUCGCCAAGCAGGUGCAGAAGAAGUUUAGCAGGGCCCAGGAGAAGAAUAUUUUCUUUGCUUCUAACCUAAGCCUCUGCUCUCCACCUACCAACCCUGUAGUAGACAAGGCGCUUUGGGAAGACAUGUCAGCCAGAAGAAAGAGCGGGUGAAGAGAGACAAGAAGGACCUGAGAUAAGAGUUUCGGUUUUCCUUUUUUUCUCUCUCUCUUUAUUAAGCCCAACCUGCCUUCUACAACGGAGAAGUUUUGAUUUUCUAAGAGCUGAUUGACUUAGAAGCAUUUGGAUGAACAGCUCUGCUUAACAACUGAAAUAUCCCUAUUAUCUUCUAAAGGUGGAGCGCUGGUUUGAACCCUGGGAAGGCUUAAAGGCAACCAGCUCUCCCGAGUUCAUUUAUCAGCAGAAAACUGAUGGAAUGUAGAUGUAGCUCCUGACUUUAAGAGACCACAGUGGAAGGGAGGUUUUUUCUAUCAUUUGAGGUCAUGUGAAAGAGAGGAGGAAAAGGGAAAGAGUUUGUGUAGCCAGACUUCGUUACUUCACUUACCCUAACUUCACCUUGAUCCUAGUUUCAGCCUCUCUGAAGAGUUACAAAUCUGGUAGACCCAAGAGAAGGGCCUAUGGGAAGGUCUAGCUAGAAACAGUGUGGGCGAGCAGGAGAUACUGGAGAGAAGGCCACACUGUGGUUGAAAAAAAAACCCUAAAAGACAAAACACUCAUG
rnacentral:sRNA from 1 species